CCUACGGGUGGCUGCAGUGAGGAAUAUUGGUCCAUGGUCGGGAGACUGAACCAGCCAAGCCGCGUGAGGGAUGAAGGUACAGAGUAUCGUAAACCUCUUUUGUCAGGGAACAAAGGCGGGGACGUGUCCCCGGAUGAGUGUACCUGACGAAAAAGCAUCGUCUAACUCCGUGACAGCAGCCGCGGUAAUACGGAGGAUGUGAGCGUUAUCCGGAUUUAUUGGGUUUAAGGGGUGCGCAGGCGGUCUGUUACGUCAGAGGUCAAAGCCCGGGGCUCAACCCCGGACCGCCGUUGAAACUGGGCGUCUGGAGGUGGAGAGAAGUAUGCGGAAUGCGCGGUGUAGCGGUGAAAUGCAUAGAUAGCGCGCAGAACUCCGAUUGCGAAGGCAGCAUGCCGGCUCCACACUGACGCUGAGGCACGAAAGCGUGGGUAUCGAACAGGAUUAGAUACCCUAGUAGUC
rnacentral:rRNA from 1 species